rnacentral:rRNA from 1 species
CAAUGGGGAAUUUUGGNAAUGGGGGAAACCCUGAUCCAGCCAUCCCGCGUGUAUGAUGAAGGCCUUCGGGUUGUAAAGUACUUUUGGCAGAGAAGAAAAGGUAUCUCCUAAUACGAGGUACUGCUGACGGUAUCUGCAGAAUAAGCACCGGCUAACUACGUGCCAGCAGCCGCGGUAAUACGUAGGGUGCAAGCGUUAAUCGGAAUUACUGGGCGUAAAGCGUGUGUAGGCGGUUCGGAAAGAAAGAUGUGAAAUCCCAGGGCUUAACCUUGGAACUGCAUUUUUAACUGCCGAGCUAGAGUAUGUCAGAGGGGGGUAGAAUUCCACGUGUAGCAGUGAAAUGCGUAGAUAUGUGGAGGAAUACCGAUGGCGAAGGCAGCCCCCUGGGAUAAUACUGACGCUCANACACNAAGCGUGGGGAGCAAACAGGAUNANAUACCCUGGUAGUCCNCNCCCUAAACGAUGUCACCUAGCUGUUGGGGCCUUAGGCCUUGUAGCGCAGNUAACGCNUGAAGUUGNCCCCUGGGGAGUACGGUCGCCAGAUUAAACUCAAAGGAAUUGACGGGACCCGCACAAGCGGUGGAUGAUGUGGAUUAAUUCGAUGCAACGCGAAAAACCUUACCUACCCUUGACAUGUCUGGAAUGCCGAAGAGAUUUGGCAGUGCUCGCAAGAGAACCGGAACACAGGUGCUGCAUGGCUGUCGUCAGCUCGUGUCGUGAGAUGUUGGGUUAAGUCCCGCAACGAGCGCAACCCUUGUCAUUAGUUGCUACGCAAGAGCACUCUAAUGAGACUGCCGGUGACAAACCGGAGGAAGGUGGGGAUGACGUCAAGUCCUCAUGGCCCUUAUGGGUAGGGCUUCACACGUCAUACAAUGGUCGGGACAGAGGGUCGCCAACCCGCGAGGGGGAGCCAAUCUCAGAAACCCGAUCGUAGUCCGGAUCGCAGUCUGCAACUCGACUGCGUGAAGUCGGAAUCGCUAGUAAUUCGCGGAUCAGAAU